CGGCGUAAAGAGUGGUUAUGGGGCCCUUCCUUCUUUACUAAAGCUGAACCUCCCCCAGGCCGUUAUACGCUUCCGGAGGAUGGAACCCCCCAGACGAAAGUAGCUUUAAACCUCCAACCAGAACCCACGACAGCCAGGGCACAAACUGGGAUUAGAUACCCCACUAUGCCCGGCCUUAAACCUAGGCACCAGACUACAACAGGUGCCCGCCUGGGGACUACGGGCACUAGCCUAAAACCCAAAGGACUUGGCGGUGUUUCAGACCCCCCUAGAGGAGCCUGUUCUAGAACCGAUAACCCUCGUUUAACCUCACCACCUCUUGUCAAUGCCGCCUAUAUACCGCCGUCGCCAGCUUACCCUGUGAAGGACUCCCAGUAAGCAAGAUGGGCACUCCCCAGAACGUCAGGUCGAGGUGUAGCGGAUGGGGUGGGAAGAAAUGGGCUACAUUAUCUGGACCAGAUAACCAACGGAAGGUCCUCUGCAACGAGGUCACGAAGGUGGAUUUAGCAGUAACGGGGGAAUAGAGUGCCCCCUUGAAGCCGGCUCUGAAACGCGCACACACCGCCCGUCACUCUCCCCAACACGA
rnacentral:rRNA from 1 species